UUGGUUAUGCUAAUAAGAGCGUAUGGUGGAUGCCUUGGCACUAAGAGCCGAUGAAAGACGUGAUAAGCUGCGAAAAGCUUCGGGGAGGAGCAAAUAUCCUGAGAUCCGGAGAUAUCUGAAUGGGGAAACCUACUUGAGAAGACCUCAAGUAUCCACAGCCCAAUCCAUAAGCUGUGGAAGGGAACCCGGUGAACUGAAACAUCUAAGUAGCCGGAGGAAGAGAAAACAACAUGUGAUUCCGUAAGUAGCGGCGAGCGAACGCGGAAGAGCCCAAACCGGAGUGCGUGCACUCCGGGGUUCGGACUGCAGGAUUGACGAGUGAGCCUAGUAGAAUGGUUUUGGGAAAGCCAGCCAGAGAGGGUGAAAGCCCCGUACACGAAAGGCGAGCGAGCAUGGCAGGAUCCAGAGUACCACGAGACACGUGAAACCUUGUGGGAAUGAGCGGGGACCACCCCGUAAGGCUAAAUACUCCUUAGUGACCGAUAGCGCAUAGUACUGUGAAGGAAAGGUGAAAAGGACCCCGGGAGGGGAGUGAAAGAGAACCUGAAACCAUAUGUUUACAAGCUGUGGAACAUCUUUAUAUGAUGAACCGCGUACUUUUUGUAGAACGGUCCGGCGAGUUACGCUGGCUGGCGAGGUUAAGGGCUGAAGGCCUGGAGCCGAAGGGAAACCGAGUCUGAACAGGGCGAAAUAGUCAGUCGGAGUAGACCCGAAACCGGGUGAUCUAUCCAUGUCCAGGUUGAAGUUGCCGUAAAAGGCAAUGGAGGACCGAACCCACAUCCGUUGAAAAGGGUGGGGAUGAGGUGUGGAUAGGGGAGAAAUUCCAAUCGAACCCGGAGAUAGCUGGUUCUCC
rnacentral:rRNA from 1 species